AGAUGGAUUGGUUGCCUUCGGGAACUCUGACACAGGUGCUGCAUGGCUGUCGUCAGCUCGUGUCGUGAGAUGUUGGGUUAAGUCCCGUAACGAGCGCAACCCUUGUCCUUAGUUACCAGCACGUUAUGGUGGGCACUCUAAGGAGACUGCCGGUGACAAACCGGAGGAAGGUGGGGAUGGCGUCAAGUCAUCAUGGCCCUUACGGCCUGGGCUACACACGUGCUACAAUGGUCGGUACAAAGGGCUGCCAAGCCGCGAGGUGGAGCUAAUCCCAUAAAACCGAUCGUAGUCCGGAUCGCAGUCUGCAACUCGACUGCGUGAAGUCGGAAUCGCUAGUAAUCGUGAAUCAGAAUGUCACGGUAAGAAUACGUUCCCGGGCCUU
rnacentral:rRNA from 1 species